rnacentral:rRNA from 1 species
UGAGGAACAUGACUUUCGGCGGGGGAUAGCCGGCCCAACGGCCGGGUAAUACCGCGUACGACCUUUUGGGGACAUCCCCGAUUGGUGAAAGCAGCAAUGCGCCGAAAGAGUGCCUCGCGGCCUAUCAGCUAGUUGGUGGGGUAAUGGCUCACCAAGGCGACGACGGGUAGCUGGUCUGAGAGGAUGGCCAGCCACAUUGGGACUGAGACACGGCCCAGACUCCUACGGGAGCAG